ACACAGGCUCCACUUGCUAUGUUGGUGACAAGAUGAGCGGCGAUAUCUUGCUUGACCAAGAUAUUGAAGGUGUAGUGGAGGAUUCAAUAUCUUCAAGCUGGAAAAGCCAAGGCUUAGCACUUCUUCAAGUAGAGUGUUAUUUAAUGUUGCAUUCCAUGGUCGUUUAUCUUAUUCAGAACUUGAAUUAGGUGUUAUUGAAACAGGGUUUUGUAGCUACCUUGUAUACUAGCUUCUUUAACCAUGAUUGUUAAUUAUUACGUGUUUUGUAGCUUCUUUUAUAUUUGGCCGAGUUAAUAUAGAUCAUAUGAGUUUGAACAUAA